rnacentral:rRNA from 1 species
UACGUAGGUGGCAAGCGUUGUCCGGAUUUACUGGGCGUAAAGAGCGCGCAGGCGGUCGUUCAAGUCGCGUGUGAAAGCCCCCGGCUCAACUGGGGAGGGUCACGCGAUACUGAUCGACUCGAAGGCAGGAGAGGGUAGUGGAAUUCCCGGUGUAGUGGUGAAAUGCGUAGAUAAUCGGGAGGAACACCAGUGGCGAAGGCGACUACCUGGCCUGUUUCUUGACGCUGAGGCGCGAAAGCUAGGGGAGCAAACGGG